AAGAUUUUAAGUUAAACAAACUGUAAGCCUUCAAAGCUUAAAAUAAAAAAUGAUUUUUAAAUCUUG
rnacentral:tRNA from 1 species